AUUGAACGCUGGCGGCAGGCCUAACACAUGCAAGUCGAACGAGUGGCGGACGGGUGAGUAAUGUCUGGGAAACUGCCUGAUGGAGGGGGAUAACUACUGGAAACGGUCGCUAAUACCGCAUACCAUCAGAUGUGCCCAGAUGGGAUUAGCUAGUUGGUGGGGUAACGGCUCACCAAGGCGAAGAUCCCUAGCUGGUCUGAGAGGAGGACCCGCCAAACUGGAACGGAGAAACGGUCCAGAGUCCUACGGGAGGCAGCAGUGGGGAAGAUUGGACAAUGGGCGAAAGGCUGAUGCAGCCAGGCCGCGUGUAUGAAGAGGGCCGUCGGGUUGAAAAGUACUUUCAGCGGGGAGGCGUUACCCGCAGAAGAAGCACCGGCUAACUCCGUGCCAGCAGCCGCGGUAAUAC
rnacentral:rRNA from 1 species